GGAAUAAUAACAUAUGACUUUGGUUCUUAUUUGUUGGUGAUUAGGGACCGAAGUAAUGAUUGCCAGGGACGGUUGGGGCCAUUCGUACUGCAAAGCGAGAGGUGAAAUUCUUGGACCUUUGUAUGACGAACUACUGCGAAAGCAUUUGGCUAGGACGUUCCCGUUGAUCAAGAACGAAAGUUGGGGGAUCGAAGACGAUCAGAUACCGUCGUAGUCUCAACCAUAAACUAUGCCAGCUAGGGAUGGGUGAAUGUUUUUCUAACGACUUCAUCCGCACCUUAAGAGAAAUCAAAGCAUUUGGGUUCCGGGGGGAGUAUGGUCGCAAGGCUGAAACUUAAAGGAAUUGACGGGAGGGCACCACCAGGAGUGGAGCCUGUGGCUUAAUUUGAUUCAACACGGGAAAACUUACCAGGUCCGGACAUGGGAAGGAUUGACAGAUUGAAAGCUCUUUCUUGAUUCUAUGGGUGGUGGUGCAUGGCCGUUCUUAGUUGGUGGAGUGAUUUGUCUGGUUGAUUCCGUUAACGAACGAGACCUCAGCCUGCUAAAUAGUUGCAGUCUUCUCGAAGGCUUUGCUAACUUCUUAGAGGGACUACUUGCGAAACAACCGAGCGGAAGCUUGAGGCAAUAACAGGUCUGUGAUGCCCUUAGAUGUUCUGGGCCGCACACGGGCUACACUGGUGUUUUCAACAAGCCUUACUACCUUAACCGAAAGGUUUGGGUAAUCUUUGAAAUAACACCGUGCUUGGGAUAGACUAUUGCAAUUUUUAGUCUUCAACGAGGAAUUCCUAGUAAACGCAAGUCAUCAGCUUGCAUUGAUUACGUCCCUGCCCUUUGUACACACCGCCCGUCGCUCCUACCGAUUGGAUGAUUCGGUAAGCUCUUGGGAUUGAUUGAUUCGCAACCACUGGUUCGUCUUAUGACUAA
rnacentral:rRNA from 1 species